rnacentral:rRNA from 1 species
UAGGGAAUCUUCCGCAAUGGGCGAAAGCCUGACGGAGCAACGCCGCGUGAGUGAUGAAGGUCUUCGGAUCGUAAAACUCUGUUAUUAGGGAAGAACAAAUGUGUAAGUAACUAUGCACGUCUUGACGGUACCUAAUCAGAAAGCCACGGCUAACUACGUGCCAGCAGCCGCGGUAAUACGUAGGUGGCAAGCGUUAUCCGGAAUUAUUUGGCGUAAAGCGCGCGUAGGCGGUUUUUUAAGUCUGAUGUGAAAGCCCACGGCUCAACCGUGGAGGGUCAUUGGAAACUGGAAAACUUGAGUGCAGAAGAGGAAAGUGGAAGUCCAUGUGUAGCGGUGAAAUGCGCAGAGAUAUGGAGGAACACCAGUGGCGAAGGCGACUUUCUGGUCUGUAACCGACGCUGAUGUGCGAAAGCGUGGGGAUCAAACAGG